GACGAACGCUGGCGGCGUGCCUAACACAUGCGAGUCGAACGGGGUUACGGAAGCUUGCUUCUGUAACUUAGUGGCGAACGGGUGAGUAACGCGUGAGGAACCUGCCUUUCAGUGGGGGACAACAGUUGGAAACGACUGCUAAUACCGCAUAAUGUAUAAAAGGGGCAUCCCUUUGAUACCAAAGCUUUAUGUGCUGAAAGAUGGCCUCGCGUCUGAUUAGAUAGUUGGUGGGGUAACGGCCUACCAAGUCGACGAUCAGUAGCCGGUCUGAGAGGAUGAACGGCCACAUUGGGACUGAGAUACGGCCCAGACUCCUACGGGAGGCAGCAGUGGGGAAUAUUGGGCAAUGGGGGAAACCCUGACCCAGCAACGCCGCGUGAAGGAAGAAGGCCUUCGGGUUGUAAACUUCUUUUACCAGGGACGAAGAACGUGACGGUACCUGGAGAAAAAGCAACGGCUAACUACGUGCCAGCAGCCGCAGUAAAAC
rnacentral:rRNA from 1 species